rnacentral:snoRNA from 1 species
CCGGGUUGAUGAACUAUAUCCUCGUUUCCCAACAGUGAGGUCCCUUUUAUUUUACUCUCGCUCUGCCUGAAAAGGUGGCGAUCUUGCUUCACUGCAUGAUUGUAUAGAGAGUGGCGAUGAUCUGUACCCCGAUUUCCCAAGGUCUGCCUUCGGGCGCUUGGGCGGGGUGGGUUUCGAUGGAAGUCUGACCGG